GACGAACGCUGGCGGCGUGCUUAACACAUGCAAGUCGAACGGAAAGGCCUCUUUCGGGGGGUACUCGCGUGGCGAACGGGUGAGUAACACGUGAGUAACCUGCCCUUGACUUUGGGAUAACUUCAGGAAACUGGGGCUAAUACCGGCUAGGAGCUCCUGCUGCAUGGUGGGGGUUGGAAAGUUUCGGCGGUUGGGGGUGGACUCGCGGCUUAUCAGCUUGUUGGUGGGGUAGUGGCUUACCAAGGCUUUGACGGGUAGCCGGCCUGAGAGGGUGACCGGCCACAUUGGGACUGAGAUACGGCCCAGACUCCGACGGGAGGCAGCAGUGGGGAAUAUUGCACAAUGGGUGGAAGCCUGAUGCAGAAACGCCGUGGGCGGGAUGACGGCCUUCGGGUUGUAAACCGCUUUCGCUCAUGACGAAGCUUUGUGUGACGGUAGUGGGUAAAGAAGCACCGGCUAACUACGUG
rnacentral:rRNA from 1 species